GUUUUGAUGCAUAUACACUCUUGUAGCCUACGUUACAACUUGUAGAGCAGGUGAACAUGAAAUUAUAAGAGGCCUCUCUUCGACAGCAAGAUAUUUGGACGUGCGGGGAAGGAAAUGCCUAGACCUCUAGACGGUGAUCAGUCCUCCCUCUAUACCAGAUCCUCCUGAGGACGCUUGAUGUCAUCUUGUCCUCCUGGUCAUUAUGCUACUUGUUCCACUCAACAAUACUGCCCUCUAGCCUCUUGCUGCUUCCCUACUCGAAAUGCCUGGCUGGCCUUUUCUAUCAAACCAUUGUGAAAUUGUGUGCAGAAAGUCCUUUCCUUAAUACUCCUCCUACUAGCGGUGUCUUUGGGACACAACAAAGGAUUCCUCCAGACAACUUGGUUGAUGGACUUUUAUCAGAAAUCAAAGUUCAUGUAAAACAAAAGAUGUUCAAGUGUCUGUGUUCCAUUUCAUUUUAAAGGGACACUUCACUGAAAAUGCAGACUAAAAUUAUAAGAAAUCUGUCUAGAACCUUACCUGUUUGUGCCCUGGCCUACCUUGAACAUCCUUGCCAGACACGUAAUUGUUAGCUAGCUAAAUGGAGCUUGUGGAGGAUAUGUUCAAUGAGUGUAUUUAGCACAUGAGUGGUUUGCAUGCGCAAUGACAGCUAACGUUAGCGUUAGGCCUACAAGUGUUACUGACUGGCUGGGGCUGUAAUUAGCCUAGUUAUACGUGUCUGCAUUGUGUCUCUGUCAUGUUCUAGAGGGUAUUAUUUUUCAAGAGCACAAUUCCCGCUUGCAUUUUAAGCCACGCCUACCCAAACUCUGAUUUGUUGGAAGAGUUGAAAAGCACCCUCCGUCAUGACUGUCCUGAUCAGGUCAGGUUACAGGAGACCACAACCCUACAGAUUAUCUCUCAACCCCAACAGAAGAGGAGAGAUCUAGGGGUCUGAAGAUGUGUGGGGUUUUAUGACCCCUCACGCCCCUGGUAAAUUUCAGGCCACAGACAAAUUCCUUUGUCCUGUUACUAUGGAGAACCAGCCUCAGAACAUUAAACAUGAAAUAAAGGGACAAUGGUUUCCGUCAG
ensembl:lncRNA